AGAGUUUGAUCCUGGCUCAGGAUGAACGCUAGCGGCAGGCUUAACACAUGCAAGUCGAGGGGUAUCACGCUUUCGGGCGUGAGAGACCGGCGCACGGGUGCGUAACGCGUAUAGAACCUACCUUUUACAGAGGGAUAGCCCAGAGAAAUUUGGAUUAAUACCUCAUAAUAAGUUUUACUGGCAUCGGUAGAACUUUAAAGCUCCGGCGGUAAGAGAUGGGCAUGCGUGCCAUUAGCUAGUUGGUGAGGUAGCGGCUCACCAAGGCAACGAUGGCUAGGGGUUCUGAGAGGAUUAUCAGCCACACUGGAACUGAGACACGGACCAGACUCCUACGGGAGGCAGCAGUAAGGAAUAUUGGUCAAUGGACGCAAGUCUGAACCAGCCAUGCCGCGUGCAGGAUGACGGCCUUAUGGUUGUAAACUGCUUUUGUCAGGGAUAAACCCUGUUUGCGAACAAGGCUGAAGGUACCUGAAGAAUAAGCAUCGGCUAACUCCGUGCCAGCAGCC
rnacentral:rRNA from 1 species